rnacentral:lncRNA from 1 species
CAUUUAGAACCUACUUCUAGAAGUGGCAAUAAUGAGGCCAUUGAAAGAACUGGAAGGGACUGCCUCCCCCCCCCCCCCCCCCCCCCCCCGCACCUAGGUCCCCAUUCUGAAUUCCCAUUUGGG